rnacentral:rRNA from 1 species
GACGAACGCUGGCGGCGUGCUUAACACAUGCAAGUCGAACGGAAAGGCCCUGCUUUUGUGGGGUGCUCGAGUGGCGAACGGGUGAGUAACACGUGAGUAACCUGCCCUUGACUUUGGGAUAACUUCAGGAAACUGGGGCUAAUACCGGAUAGGAGCUCCUGCUGCAUGGUGGGGGUUGGAAAGUUUCGGCGGUUGGGGAUGGACUCGCGGCUUAUCAGCUUGUUGGUGGGGUAGUGGCUUACCAAGGCUUUGAUGGGUAGCCGGCCUGAGAGGGUGACCGGCCACAUUGGGACUGAGGUACGGCCCAGACUCCUACGGGAGGCAGCAGUGGGGAAUAUUGCACAAUGGGCGGAAGCCGGAUGCAGCAACGCCGCGUGCGGGAUGACGGCCUUCGGGUGGUAAACCGCUUUCGCCUGUGACGAAGCGUGAGUGACGGUAAUGGGUAAAGAAGCACCGGCUAACUACGU